rfam:Triticum aestivum genome assembly, contig: Triticum_aestivum_CS42_TGACv1_scaffold_345144_4DL
GUAGUACUCCCUCCGUCCCAAAAUUCUUGUCUUAGAUUAGUCUAGAUACGGAUGUAUCUAUUUAGACAAAUAUAAGGCACGAAUUUUGGGACGAAGGGAGUACAUG